GACGAAUGCUGGCGGCGUGCUUAACACAUGCGAGUCGAACGGAAAGGCCCUGCUUGCAGGGUACUCGAGUGGCGAACGGGUGAGUAACACGUGGGUGAUCUGCCCUGCACUUCGGGAUAAGCCUGGGAAACUGGGUCUAAUACCGGAUAGGAGCCAUUUUUAGUGUGAUGGUUGGAAAGUUUUUUCGGUGUAGGAUGAGCUCGCGGCCUAUCAGCUUGUUGGUGGGGUAAUGGCCUACCAAGGCGGCGACGGGUAGCCGGCCUGAGAGGGUGGACGGCCACAUUGGGACUGAGAUACGGCCCAGACUCCUACGGGAGGCAGCAGUGGGGAAUAUUGCACAAUGGGCGCAAGCCUGAUGCAGCGACGCCGCGUGGGGGAUGACGGCCUUCGGGUUGUAAACUCCUUUCGCUAGGGACGAAGCUUUUGUGACGGUACCUAGAUAAGAAGCACCGGCUAACUACGUG
rnacentral:rRNA from 1 species